UAAACCAGCAAUUAGCUAGUUAGCUAACCCUGCUGGAGAAUAGUAUGGUUUAAAAUUCUAAAAUUAUUUAUCAAGUGAUGACUAAUCUGGAAUAGUGUAAUUUCGAAACUAGUUAGCUAUUUCAACACAAUUAACUUCAGCAGCUAACCAACACACGGAGACAACUUCCUGCCACGAGCGUUUCGCAAAAUGAGAACAGAGACGCGAGGUAGCCACAGUUUGGAUGGUGGAUUGCUUAUCCAAGACUAUUCAGGACAUUCACAGGGACAGAGGGAAUACAGGAUGUUAAAUCUGAAUCAACUUGAAGCUGGGAUGUCCCUUCUACCAUUUAAUUCGCUCUCCCGACUGUCCAUCAACUCCUGGCUGAACCCUACAUCAGAUCCACUGACAAAGUGCACACCUGCAAUCCUUACAUCAUAACGCAGCAGAAGAGAGGGGUUUCAUCACAAUAGCACAUUCAAAGAUCGAUUUAUAGCGAUUAAUCUAAAAUAAUUCAUAGAUUUUAAACAAGUCUAUUUCUGUUUGUCAUAGAUGGACAAAUGUAAUAUGAUAUUAAUAGAGCUCUGUUUGACGUUCACAGCGCUGGGGGCAAAUGUUUUGAUCAAGACUGACCCUUAGAAAAUAUGCACAUUCUCUAACCAUAGAGAUAUGUAUUUUACAGUUAUAAGG